rnacentral:rRNA from 1 species
UACGGAGGGUGCAAGCGUUAUCCGGAUUCACUGGGUUUAAAGGGUGCGUAGGAGGGCAGGGAAGUCAGUGGUGAAAUCUCCGGGCUUAACUGGGAGAGGCCGUUCAAAACUGUCAAGCUAGAGUCUGGAAGAGGAGAGCGGAAUUCCCGGUGUAGUGGUGGAAUGCGUAGAGAUCGGGAGGAACACCAGUGGCGAAAGCGGCUCUCUGGUCCAAAACUGACGCUGAGGGGCGAAAGCGUGGGGAGCGAACGGG